UGGAUGUUCUUGCACAAAAAUCAGGCAAUUUUGGUGCUCAGGUUGGAGACAAUAUACAAAAGAAAUGGAUGGCUGAUACAGGUUUAUUCUAGACAUCCAUUUGUUUUAUACACAAUGGUCAAUUUGAUGGAAGGCUCUUACCUCACACCUGUAUGCUAUUUUGGUGCAUGUGGUUGGCAAGGCUCCACAAAUGUGUGAUCUUUACGAACCUCACCCAAUUUUAUUUUAUUUUAUUUUU